UACGUAGGGUCCGAGCGUUAAUCGGAAUUACUGGGCGUAAAGCGUGCGCAGGCGGUUUUGUAAGCCAGAUGUGAAAUCCCCGGGCUUAACUUGGGAACUGCAUUUGGGACUGCAAGGCUGGAGUACGGCAGAGGGAGGUGGAAUUCCACGUGUAGCAGUGAAAUGCGUAGAGAUGUGGAGGAACACCGAUGGCGAAGGCAGCCUCCUGGGCUAGUACUGACGCUGAUGAGCGAAAGCCAGGGGAGCAAACGGG
rnacentral:rRNA from 1 species